AUUGAACGCUGGCGGCAUGCCUUACACAUGCAAGUCGAACGGCAGUGCGGGAGCAAUCCUGGCGGCGAGUGGCGAACGGGUGAGUAAUACAUCGGAACGUGCCCAAUCGUGGGGGAUAACGCAGCGAAAGCUGUGCUAAUACCGCACACGAUCUACGGAUGAAAGCAGGGGAUCGCAAGACCUUGCGCGUCUGGCGCGGCCGAUGGCAGAUUAGGUAGUUGGUGAGGUAAAGGCUCACCAAGCCUUCGAUCUGUAGCUGAUCUGAGAGGACGACCAGCCACACUGGGACUGAGACACGGACCAGACUCCUACGGGAGGCAGCAGUGGGGAAUUUUGGACAAUGGGCGAAAGCCUGAUCCAGCCAUGCCGCGUGCAGGAUGAAGGCCUUCGGGUUGUAAACUGCUUUUGUGCGGAACGAAACGGUCUUUUCUAAUAAAGAAGGCUAAUGACGGUACCGUAAGAAUAAGCACCGGCUAACUACGUG
rnacentral:rRNA from 1 species